GCGGAGGGAUCAUUACCGAGUGAGGGCCUUCGGGCUCGACCUCCAACCCUUUGUGAACACAUCUUGUUGCUUCGGGGGCGACCCUGCCGUUUCCGACGGCGAGCGCCCCCGGAGGCCUUCAAACACUGCAUCUUUGCGUCGGAGUUUAAGUAAAUUUAAACAAAACUUUCAACAACGGAUCUCUUGGUUCUGGCAUCGAUGAAGAACGCAGCGAAAUGCGAUAAGUAAUGUGAAUUGCAGAAUUCAGUGAAUCAUCGAAUCUUUGAACGCACAUUGCGCCCUCUGGUAUUCCGGAGGGCAUGCCUGUUCGAGCGUCAUUUCACCACUCAAGCCUGGCUUGGUAUUGGGCGCCGCGGUGUUCCGCGCGCCUCAAAGUCUCCGGCUGAGCUGUCCGUCUCCAAGCGUUGUGAUUUCAUUAAUCGCUUCGGGGUGCGGGCGGCCGCGGCCGUUAAAUCUUUCACAAGGUUGACCUCGGAUCAGGUAGGGAUACCCGCUG
rnacentral:rRNA from 1 species